CAGAGGUGACGGCUGCGGGGCGUCAUGUCGUACUCCAACCAGAGGGCAGCCAAUUGUGCUCGGUGUUGACCCCAAGGGCAAGAAACUACUGUAUGUCCAUGGAAAUUCUGUCAUUAUCCGAGAUAUUGAGAACCCCUCCAUCUCAGAGGUCUACACGGAGCACUCCAUACAGGUGAAUGUGGCUCAGUAUGCUCCGUCAGGCUUCUACAUUUGCUCUGGUGACCAACAUGGCAAAGUGCGAUAUGGGACACCAUCAAUCCAGAGCAUAUU